rnacentral:lncRNA from 1 species
GACGAUUACGUUCCACAACCUGCAGAUAACAGUUCCGGUUCACUGUUGAAUGAAGGCAGAGAAAUACAGCAAAACUUAAUUCGCUUAUUAAGGCGCUAGGUGCACAUGGACCCGGUACAAGAAGAUGAAGUUUCCAUGCCGGAAUUGAAUCUGGAACAUUUGAAGUUAGAAGAGAAAAAGAAGAUUGAAGAAUUGGAUUCUGGAAGUAAGGAGAGAAGCCCGCCAGCUCAGGAGUACAGCUCGAGUCCCCCAAUGCAAAAAAGAAAGCAGAGCCAACAAACUUCGACCAGGGAAACCCAUACCACUAAGGCUAAAAGCGCACAAAAAAGAGGAAAUUAACACCGACAGAUCAACGAGUCAGAACCCAGGAUGCUGCAAAAACUCAAGUGCCAUCGACCACACGAGGGAGGCCUGCUGACAAGGUUCCAGGAAAGGAGAAAAUUCAACGACGAAUUGAAAGUAGACGUAAACCACAGUUUCCAGCAUCAACAACUACAAGGCAGACCCAAGGAUGACCAGCGUGGAGACCGAAAAGCCAGAAAAGACCUGUAGACACAACCGUGCCGGAGCAACAAGUUAGAAGGGCCAAGAGAAGAUUCAAAGACCCUGAAGGACGGAGAGCCCCACCGGAGUCAAAAAGGAAAUUGGCAUUCCAGAAUCCACAACUAACCCGGAAGAGUCCCAGAUUCCUACAUAAAGGACAGAAAAGGAAAGCACUGGAACUGAAUGGAGCGAACAUCGAACAUCGAGAAGAAGAGUGGAGGUUAUCAGGUUUUCUACAUUUGAUAAAUUCUGUAAAGACAGGAUGCAGGAGUACAGAAAAAGAUAAGUGAAAAUUUCUUUGCUAAUUUUUCUUUGAAGUUCAAAUUAUAUCAUACUGUUAUAAGUUGCUAAAUCUGUGUACAAAAUUUAAAUCGCAGAUAGCGAUAUUUUGUAAAUGUUCGUAAGCAUAGAUUUUUAUGUUAGUAAUUUGGCGAGAAGCUACUAGCGUUAAAUACUUUUUGUUAAGAACUCGCAAGUUGCGAGAAGUAAGUUCUGAAUAAGUUUAGUCAGAAGACUAUUGGAAUACUAUAAUAUGUUAACGUAAAGUUAAGAUUUCGUGUAAAUUUUGGUAAAGUGUAAUUAAGCAACUAUUAUUGUUGAUGUAAAAUGAAUUCAAAAGUGAUGCGUAAAUAUUUAAAUGUUCAUGUUCAUGUAGAAACGUUUGAUCUUUGUGUUGAAAUAUCGUAAAGAUUAAAAUGACAGAGAAAAGAAAUAUUUAUUUCUGUGUAUGGGAGUUACGGAAGAAUGGAAUGUUUAUAUAUGUGUGUUUAAUGUUAGCUCUCCAGUUAAAACGUUUAAAAGUAAAAUAUAAGCUUUUGCUUACAGUAGGAAACCGUUUUCGUGUAGGGAGUCUUGGCAGGUCUAGUCUGUCAAAUUUAACAAAGUUAGGUGUUGUGUAGCGGUAGUUUGUUCGCGGUAACACAACAUAGAAGAUCCUAAGUACAUUUCAGUACAUUUGCUGGAGAGCAUGGGUGAAAUAAAUCUGUAGAUGACUGAAAGUGCAUAAGGUCCAACUAAUGAAUUAAAAUCAUAAAGCUAGGAUUUAAAGUAAAGUUUUGUAAAAAUGCAUUACUAAUGUCAUUUCCUUCCAGAUGUGGAAGGAUCAAGACCUGAAAUAAGUCUAGCCGAAUAAAGAGUAUGUAGGAAGAAGAUUUAUGUCAAGAUAUAAUGUCCAGAAAGAAUGCAUUGUAAAUUUUUAUUUUUCCUAGCUUUA